CCUACGGGGGACAGCAGUGAGGAAUAUUGGUCAAUGGACGAGAGUCUGAACCAGCCAAGUAGCGUGAGGGAAGACUGCCCUAUGGGUUGUAAACCUCUUUUAUAAGGGAAUAAAACGACGCACGUUUGGGUGUUUGCAUGGACUUUAUGAAUAACGACCGGCUAACUCCGUGCCAGCAGCCGAGGUAAUACGGAAGGUCCGAGCGUUAUCCGGAUUUAUUGGGUGUAAAGGGAUCGUUGGUGGGUUUUGAAGGCUGAUGUGAAAAUCUGCGGCUACACCGUAAAAUUGCACUUAAAACUGGUAGUCUUGAGUGCAGUAGAGGCAGGCGGAAUUCCUAGUGUAGCGGUGAAAUGCUUAGAUAUCACGAAGAACACCGAUUGCGAAGGCAGCCUACUGAACUGUGACUGACGCUGAGGCUCGAAAGUGUGGGUAUCAAACAGGAUUAGAUACCCGUGUAGUC
rnacentral:rRNA from 1 species